rnacentral:rRNA from 1 species
CCUACGGGAGGCAGCAGUGAGGAAUAUUGGUCAAUGGGCGCAAGCCUGAACCAGCCAUGCCGCGUGCAGGAUGAAGCAUCUAUGGUGUGUAAACUGCUUUUGUACAGGAAGAAACACUCGUUCGUGAACGAGCUUGACGGUACUGUAAGAAUAAGGACCGGCUAACUCCGUGCCAGCAGCCGCGGUAAUACGGAGGGUCCAAGCGUUAUCCGGAAUCAUUGGGUUUAAAGGGUCCGUAGGCGGUUUAGUAAGUCAGUGGUGAAAGCCCAUCGCUCAACGGUGGAACGGCCAUUGAUACUGCUAGACUUGAAUUAUUAGGAAGUAACUAGAAUAUGUAGUGUAGCGGUGAAAUGCUUAGAGAUUACAUGGAAUACCAAUUGCGAAGGCAGGUUACUACUAAUAUAUUGACGCUGAUGGACGAAAGCGUGGGGAGCGAACAGGAUUAGAUACCCUGGUAGUCCACGCCGUAAACGAUGGAUACUAGCUGUUCGGAGCAAUCUGAGUGGCUAAGCGAAAGUGAUAAGUAUCCCACCUGGGGAGUACGUUCGCAAGAAUGAAACUUAAAUGAAAUUGACGG